rnacentral:rRNA from 1 species
GCUAACGCGGGGCACCCUGGCGCGGUAAUGUGUAGGGGGUCUAGUUUUCGCGUAUUGAUGUGGCGGAAGGAGCGGUUAGGCGGCGUGUCAGGUCAGCGGUGAAAACUCGAGGCUCAACCUCGAGAGGUCGUCGGAAACCGUCUGGCUAGAGUCCGGAAGAGGAGAGUGGAAUUCCUGGUGUAGCGGUGAAAUGCGCAGAUAUCAGGAAGAACACCUAUGGCGAAGGCAGCUCUCUGGGACGGUACUGACGCUGAGACGCGAAAGCGUGGGGAGCGAACAGGAUUAGAUACCCGAGUAGUC